AGUGAACGCUGGCGGUAGGCCUAACACAUGCAAGUCGAACGGCAGCACAGUAAAAGCUUGCUCUUACGGGUGGCGAGUGGCGGACGGGUGAGGAAUACAUCGGAAUCUACUUUUUCGUGGGGGAUAACGUAGGGAAACUUACGCUAAUACCGCAUACGACCUACGGGUGAAAGCAGGGGAGCUUCGGACCUUGCGCGAUUGAAUGAGCCGAUGUCGGAUUAGCUAGUUGGCGGGGUAAAGGCCCACCAAGGCGACGAUCCGUAGCUGGUCUGAGAGGAUGAUCAGCCAAACUGGAACUGAGACACGGUCAAGACUCCUACGGGAGGCAGAAGUGGGGAAUAUUGGACAAUGGGCGCAAGCCUGAUCCAGCCAUACCGCGUGGGUGAAGAAGGCCUUCGGGUUGUAAAGCCCUUUUGUUGGGAAAGAAAAGCAGCAGGUUAAUACCCCGCUGUUCUGACGGUACCCAAAGAAUAAGCACCGGCUAACUGCGU
rnacentral:rRNA from 1 species